rnacentral:tRNA from 5 species
CGGAGAGUGGUGUAACGGUAGCACGAGUCCUUUGGGAGGAUUUAGUCCGGGUUCAAAUCCCGGCUCUCCGA